rnacentral:rRNA from 1 species
UACGUAGGGGGCAAGCGUUGUCCGGAUUUAUUGGGCGUAAAGAGCGUGUAGGCGGCUUUACAGGUCCGUUGUGAAAACUCGAGGCUCAACCUCGAGACGCCGGUGGAAACCGUAAAGCUAGAGUCCGGAAGAGGAGAGUGGAAUUCCUGGUGUAGCGGUGAAAUGCGUAGAGAUCAGGAAGAACACCGGUGGCGAAGGCGCUCUGCUAGGCCGCAACUGACACUGAGGGACGAAAGCUAGGGGAGCGAAUGGG